AUGUGCGGCCAGCCGGACUCGUGGAGGCAUUCGUUGUUGCAGUGCACUAUGUCACGGUGCAUAUGGGCUCUAGUAGAUGAGGACCUCUCUCCACAGCUAGCAGGUGUAACGGAACCAAGUGCGAAGCAGUGGUUGUUCACUCUCAUGAAGCUGUUAACACAUGAUCAAUUCGUUAAACUCACCGUUACGCUAUGGGCUAUUUGGUCAUCGCGGCGCAAAGCUAUUCACGAAGGAAUAUUUCAGAGCCCACAAAGCACGUAUGCAUUCAUUGGUAAGUUUAUACAAGAGCUUGAUUUGGUCCGAGAACCAGGGCAGAGUACCUCAAGGCGAGGAGCGGGUGCAGUCCAACAAAACCAACGACCAAAAGCUCCUCCACUGGGUGUAGCCAAGAUACAUGUUGACGCCGCAUGCCGCAGGGGCACAGGAGGAGUCGCAGCGGCAGUCUGUAGAGAUGCUAAUGGAGUAUUCUUGGGGAGCUCAGCCCUUGGAAUAGCAGGUGUCGAUGACCCGACAAUUCUGGAGACGAUAGCGUGUAGGGAAGCACUUGCCCUAGCCCAAGACCUAAACCUUCGGGAUGUGCUAGUGGCCUCGGAUGCGAAGGAUGUCGUGAAUGCUAUCAACAAUUCGGGCCAGGGUCCGAACGGAGCAAUUGUGGCAGAGAUAAACAGUUUAUCUUCUUUACUUAGCUUUACAUUUACUUUUGAAUCUCGGGCCGUCAAUGUAGAGGCACAUAGUUUAGCCGAGCAUGCUUUUUCACUGGGACCGGGGCUCCACCUGUGGCUAGGCCAAUCCCAUGAUCAGCGGUGUAUCCCACACCAUGUGGAAUUUUCUGAAUAA
rnacentral:rRNA from 1 species